UACGUAGGGCGCGAGCGUUGUCCGGAAUUAUUGGGCGUAAAGAGCUCGUAGGCGGCCUGUUGCGUCCGCUGUGAAAUCCCGGGGCUCAACCCUGGGCGUGCAGUGGGUACGGGCAGACUAGAGUGCGGUAGGGGAGACUGGAAUUCCUGGUGUAGCGGUGAAAUGCGUAGAGAUCAGGCGGAACACCCGUAGCGAAGGCGGCCAGCUGGGCCGUCCCUGACACUGAGGCGCGAAGGCGUGGGGAGCGAACAGG
rnacentral:rRNA from 1 species